rnacentral:rRNA from 1 species
CAGCAGCCACGGGAAUACGUAGGGUGCGAGCGUUAAUCGGAAUUACUGGGCGUAAAGCGUGCGCAGGCGGUUGUGUAAGACAGGUGUGAAAUCCCCGGGCUCAACCUGGGAACUGCGCUUGUGACUGCACAGCUAGAGUAUGGCAGAGGGGGGUGGAAUUCCACGCGUAGCAGUGAAAUGCGUAGAGAUGUGGAGGAACACCGAUGGCGAAGGCAGCCCCCUGGGCCAAUACUGACGCUCAUGCACGAAAGCGUGGGGAGCAAACAGGAUUAGAUACCCCCGUAGUCCCUGUCUCUUAUAC